UUGUGCGUAUGCGGAACCUUUUGAGAUGAGACGUGAUUUCAGUCCGGACGAAUAUCCACAGCGCCACUGUAAACAUGGCAGACAUUCCAAGUGAUGCGCCACAGCACUGCCCCGGUACGGCCAGUGAGCAGGCAGGGAAGACCUCAGCAUGUCAGGGUUGUCCCAUACCAGAACCUCCUGCUCCUCUGGAGCCACUAAAGCACCAGACCCAGCCAUAGAGAGAUAGCAGAGAAGAUGUUAACAGUGAAACAUAAGAUCUUGGUCCUGUCAGGGAAAGGAGGAGUAGGGAAGAGUACGUUCAGCGCACAUCUGGCCCACGCACGCUAGUUGACGCCACUAAA